rnacentral:rRNA from 1 species
GCACUUUAUACUGUGAAACUGCGAAUGGCUCAUUAAAUCAGUUAUCGUUUAUUUGAUAGUACCUUACUACAUGGAUACCUGUGGUAAUUCUAGAGCUAAUACAUGCUAAAAACCCCGACUUCGGAAGGGGUGUAUUUAUUAGAUAAAAAACCAAUGCCCUUCGGGGCUCCUUGGUGAUUCAUAAUAACUUAACGAAUCGCAGGCCUUGCGCCGGCAUGGUUCAUUCAAAUUUCUGCCCUAUCAACUUUCGAUGGUAGGAUAGUGGCCUACCAUGGUGGCAACGGGUAACGGGGAAUUAGGGUUCGAUUCCGGAGAGGGAGCCUGAGAAACGGCUACCACAUCCAAGGAAGGCAGCAGGCGCGCAAAUUACCCAAUCCCGACACGGGGAGGUAGUGACAAUAAAUACUGAUACGGGGCUCUUUCGGGUCUCGUAAUUGGAAUGAGUACAAUCUAAAUCCCUUAACGAGGAACAAUUGGAGGGCAAGUCUGGUGCCAGCAGCCGCGGUAAUUCCAGCUCCAAUAGCGUAUAUUAAAGUUGUUGCAGUUAAAAAGCUCGUAGUUGAACCUUGGGUCUGGCUGGCCGGUCCGCCUCACCGCGAGUACUGGUCCGGCUGGACCUUUCCUUCUGGGGAAUCCCAUGGCCUUCACUGGCUGUGGGGGGAACCAGGACUUUUACUGUGAAAAAAUUAGAGUGUUCAAAGCAGGCCUUUGCUCGAAUACAUUAGCAUGGAAUAAUAGAAUAGGACGUGCGGUUCUAUUUUGUUGGUUUCUAGGACCGCCGUAAUGAUUAAUAGGGAUAGUCGGGGGCGUCAGUAUUCAGCUGUCAGAGGUGAAAUUCUUGGAUUUGCUGAAGACUAACUACUGCGAAAGCAUUCGCCAAGGAUGUUUUCAUUAAUCAGGGAACGAAAGUUAGGGGAUCGAAGACGAUCAGAUACCGUCGUAGUCUUAACCAUAAACUAUGCCGACUAGGGAUCGGGCGGUGUUUCUAUGAUGACCCGCUCGGCACCUUACGAGAAAUCAAAGUUUUUUGGGGGGGGUAAGGUGAACUUAAAAAUUGACGGAAGG